rnacentral:tRNA from 1 species
CGACUCGCUGGUCGCGCAGGUGGCGACGUCGCGGUUGCUGUUCGCGAUGGGCCGGGACCGGCAGCUGCCGAGGUUCCUCGCCCGGGUGUCGCC